ACAGGCAGGAACUUGAGAGCAGGUCUCUAGUGAGGAGCUCGUGUUUAACAUUUCUCCAUAGUCACCUGAGUUGGGUACUCUCCUGACCUUUGUACAAACUGUUGAAAAAAAACCUCUCUGAAACUGGUUUAUCAAGUAUAAGUCAUCAAAAACUAAGCCUUGCCUAAUCAGUUUUGAGCCUCUGUAUAAUAGGAGCCUUAACUUCAUGAUUGCAACACAAUUUAAAAUUACUCGGCUUACCUCAUUCCCAAAGUUGGCCUCUUCACAGUUUUCCAUGGAAACAUUCUAAUUCGACUAAAGGAUUGUGGCUUUUGAGUUCCUCUUCCCUUUCUGCCAUAAGGGUGGUGUCAUCUGCAUAUCUGAGGUUAUUGAUAUUUCUCCCGGAAAUCUUGAUUCCAGCUUGUGCUUCUUCCAGCCCAGCGUUUCUCAUGAUGUACUCUGCAUAUAAGUUAAAUGCAGAUCACUAAAGUCCCGUAAGUACCUGUGAGGGAAGGCUGCCUGAGGGAAGAGCCAAGAGGAUGGGAAUGGCGGAGUGAAAGAGUGGGAAGAACCUACACCACCCAUGACACAUCGAAGCCUCAGACUGUUCCUGCCUGGAGCCUGCCCAACCUGGGACCACCUCAUUCAAGCCAGUUUUGAGCCGUUUUCUAUUACCUGCAGUCGGUAGAAAUCUGACAACUUUCCUUCUCUUUGUGGUUAAAGAAGAAAAUUAUGUUUUAUAUGUGAAAAAGACACAGAUACCCAGAUUCCUUUUGGAAGUACAUUAGUGGCCAUAACAUAACUGGAGAUUAGCUUUCAAUGGACAUUGUUCAAGUUUUGGACACUUGAACUUUGGUAAGGAAAGAAGUGUAAUCAAUUACUGCAGCCAUUGGGUAACAGAAUUAUUUCGUUUUCCCUAAUGUAAGGUAGCCAACAUUACAGGAAUAGAAUAGCUUUAAAAAUAGAAACACUCAAAAGGAAAUGCCAUCAAAUCAUCAUGCAUUUUAAAAGAGCUAAGUUACAAAUAGAUUUAAAAAAAAAACAAUUGCUCUUCCUAGCAGUUCAACCAUUGCAAAGUGUUAACAGCUAGCAGAAAGACACUAGGGUGUGAACAGUGGCCUCCUCUUAUAAAAAGCAGGUUUUCCCAAAGAAAGAAAUAUAACAUUAUUAUGACUAUCCAACAUACAUGACUGUUUGAGUCAUUUUGUUAAUUUUCAAUUAAAUACAGCUCCUGUUUUCUGUUGCAAUGAGUUAACACAAUUAAAAUUUUCAUAUUAUUUUCAUCCUAUUUGUAAAAUAGUUUAUAUUAGAAUGUGUUUUAGGAUGAAAAUAGGUCCACAAAAACGGGGUAAGGAUAAACUUGAAUAUGAUUUCAAGUUUAGUCUAGAUAUAGUGUUAUAGGAUAUAAUUUCAAAGAUCAGAUGCCAGAUUUUAAUGCUAAUUAAAGUGGCUAUGACAUUCACUGCUCUAUUUAAUUGACUUAUAGCUGGGAUACUGACCAGGCCAUUUCUGCUCCCUAGAAUGCCUUUAUGCAAAUGAGACCAGGACAUGGCUUGGCAAGCAGAGCAAUGGGCUGGAUUCCAGUCCCUACUUGUCCAUUUGGCCAGGCAUUGUUGUGUGGUGAACAGCCAGCACAAACGUACUCGGGGGCCCUGGGUUGCAAAUUCCAAUGUUUAGGCGGACAAGUGUUAGAUAAUAAGGAGUGCAGAGAAUGGGCAGACUAGAGACCCCAUUUCUAAUCAUAGCUCCAGCUACUGUUUACAGGAGGGAAAGCAGACACAGUGUUUUCAGACCUCCCAAGUUUUGAAAGAGGCUGGAAGUCUAAUUCAGUUUAUUUAACACCAUGGACCCAAGCAACAUGUGUGUGAGGCCCAAAUUGAAAUUAUGGACUAGAUGCUUGUGACUCUGAUUUGAGCGCAUCACCACAGCUGCUUACUCAGAUUCCAUGGUUAUUCUGAUGCUGUUGGACUUGGGAAUGUGUGCGCUCUUGGAGGUGAUGGUGCAAGUGAGAGAUGUGGGACAGAGGUGAUUUGUCAUCCAAGGUAAGAUUCAGGUAGGAGAGGUCAUAGAUAUAGAUAUGAAGGGUGGGGGGGAAAGGUAAUAAAUGUGAUAUUAACUCUGAAGAAGAAAGGAGUGUAUAAGAUUAAGUACUACAUGGGGAGGGGGAAGUUGUGAUUUUCAGGUAGUUUGCUUUUUAUAGUACUGUCCUACUAAAUAGCUCCAACACGUUGCUAACAUUAAUUAAACCUCACAAACCCUUGAGAUACGUAAUUACUAUAAUUAAACUGAUAUUCCAGAUCAGUAAAAUGAGACUUAGAAUGCCCAAGGUCAUAG